UACGUAGGGUCCGAGCGUUGUCCGGAUUUAUUGGGCGUAAAGAGCUCGUAGGCGGCUCAGUAAGUCGGGUGUGAAACCUCCAGGCUCAACCUGGAGACGCCACCCGAUACUGCUGUGGCUUGAGUCCGGUAGGGGAGCGUGGAAUUCCUGGUGUAGCGGUGAAAUGCGCAGAUAUCAGGAGGAACACCGAUGGCGAAGGCAGGUCUCUGGGCAUUAACUGACGCUGAGGAGCGAAAGCAUGGGGAGCGAACAGG
rnacentral:rRNA from 1 species